ACAUAGGGGAAAAGAGGUAUAAGAGGUGGGCUGAUAGGGGCAGGAAGAGGAGGAGGCAAGAGGAAUGGAGAGACCAGAUAGCAGCAGAGGCAGCUGUGAAACCCACUGGCAAAAGAAGCACCUCGUCCUCCUCUACCGCCUGGUCCAUACGGAGGACAACAGCCUUCUACUGCUACCAGUGACUCACGUGCUAGAGAUCUCUGCUGUGGAUCUACACGUCCAGCUCUGCUAAAGACCCCAGGUGGAUCAUCACUGUGGAUCUACAUGACAGAAUCUCUGGUCUUAUUUCCCCCUGGUUUUCAGGAUGAGAUGGAUUGAAGAAAGAUCACCGCACCCUGAAUCAAUAUACUUCCGGCAUCUUUUUUACUUUGCUUCUGAUGAGAAAAGGCUGACACGAUCCAGCGCUUGCUGUCGAGUCAACAUUAAAGGCUGAUUUUACCUGCAAUGCCGGAUUGUGGUUGCGUGGGAGCUUCCAAGCUAAGCACAGCCAGUCGGGAUCUUCAUUUAGGCUGGGGG